AACGCGAAGAACCUUACCCGGGCUUGAACUACGGAUGGUAAGUCCCAAGAAACUGGGGCUGACCCGCAAGGGAGUCCGCAGAGGUGCUGCAUGGUUGUCGUCAGCUCGUGUCGUGAGAUGUUGGGUUAAGUCCCGCAACGAGCGCAACCCCUAUCACUAGUUACCAGCGGUUCGGCCGGGAACUCUAGUGAGACCGCCGAUAUUCAAAUCGGAGGAAGGUGGGGACGACGUCAAGUCAUCAUGGCCCUUAUGUCCAGGGCUACACACGUGCUACAAUGGUUGCUACAGAGCGCUGCAAACCCGCGAGGGGGAGCCAAUCGCAAAAAAGCAACCUCAGUACAGAUAAGAGUCUGCAACUCGACUCUUUGAAGUCGGAAUCGCUAGUAAUCGCUGAUCAGCACGGCAGCGGUGAAUACGUUCCCGGGCCUUGUACACACCGACGCAC
rnacentral:rRNA from 1 species